rnacentral:rRNA from 1 species
GAUGAACGCUGGCGGCGUGCUUAACACAUGCAAGUCGAACGAUGAAGCCCAGCUUGCUGGGUGGGUUAGUGGCGAACGGGUGAGUAACACGUGAGUAUCCUGCCCUUUACUCUGGGAUAAGCCUGCGAAACUGGGUCUAAUACCGGAUAGGAGCGUCCACCGCAUGGGGGGUGUUGGAAAGAUUUAUCGGUUUUGGAUGGACUCGCGGCCUAUCAGCUUGUUGGUGUGGUAAUGGCUCACCAAGGCGACGACGGGUAGCCGGCCUGAGAGGGUGACCGGCCACACUGGGACUGAGACACGGCCCAGACUCCUACGGGAGGCAGCAGUGGGGAAUAUUGCACAAUGGGCGCAAGCCUGAUGCAGCGACGCCGCGUGAGGGAUGACGGCCUUCGGGUUGUAAACCUCUUUCAGUAGGGAAGAAGCGAAAGUGACGGUACCUGCAGAAGAAGCACCGGCUAACUACGUG